rnacentral:rRNA from 1 species
CAGUCGCCACGGGAAUACGAAGGGGGCUAGCGUUGUUCGGAAUUACUGGGCGUAAAGCGCACGUAGGCGGAUAUUUAAGUCAGGGGUGAAAUCCCGCAGCUCAACUGCGGAACUGCCUUUGAUACUGGGUAUCUUGAGUAUGGAAGAGGUUAGUGGAAUUGCGAGUGUAGAGGUGAAAUUCGUAGAUAUUCGCAGGAACACCAGUGGCGAAGGCGGCUAACUGGUCCAUAACUGACGCUGAGGUGCGAAAGCGUGGGGAGCAAACAGGAUUAGAUACCCCUGUAGUCCCUGUCUCUUAUAC